CGAACGAGAGCGACCGGUGCUUGCACUGGUCAAUCUAGUGGCGAACGGGUGAGUAACACGUGGGUAACCUGCCCAUCAGAGGGGGAUAACAUCCGGAAACGGAUGCUAAAACCGCAUAGGUCUUCGAGCCGCAUGGCUUGAAGAGGAAAAGAGGCGCAAGCUUCUGCUGAUGGAUGGACCCGCGGUGCAUUAGCUAGUUGGUGAGGUAACGGCUCACCAAGGCCGUGAUGCAUAGCCGACCUGAGAGGGUGAUCGGCCACAUUGGGACUGAGACACGGCCCAAACUCCUACGGGAGGCAGCAGUAGGGAAUCUUCCGCAAUGGACGCAAGUCUGACGGAGCAACGCCGCGUGAGUGAAGAAGGUUUUCGGAUCGUAAAACUCUGUUGUUAGAGAAGAACAAGUGCUAGAGUAACUGUUAGCGCCUUGACGGUAUCUAACCAGAAAGCCACGGCUAACUACGUGCCAGCAGCCGCGGUAAUACGUAGGUGGCAAGCGUUGUCCGGAUUUAUUGGGCGUAAAGCGAGCGCAGGCGGUUCCUUAAGUCUGAUGUGAAAGCCCCCGGCUCAACCGGGGAGGGUCAUUGGAAACUGGGGAACUUGAGUGCAGAAGAGGAGAGUGGAAUUCCAUGUGUAGCGGUGAAAUGCGUAGAUAUAUGGAGGAACACCAGUGGCGAAGGCGACUCUCUGGUCUGUAACUGACGCUGAGGCUCGAAAGCGUGGGUAGCAAACAGGAUUAGAUACCCUGGUAGUCCACGCCGUAAACGAUGAGUGCUAAGUGUUGGAGGGUUUCCGCCCUUCAGUGCUGCAGUUAA
rnacentral:rRNA from 1 species